UUUUUGGGUGCGCGCGGGGCAGCCUCUCUUGCCGCGCCGCUUGUGAGCGCGCGCGUCAUGGGCGCAGCGGGCACAACCACAAACCCUACCCCCAAUCCACAGCCGCCACUCCCUCCCUCCUCCUCCUCCCUCCCUCGUUUGUCGCCGCCACUCCUUCCCUGCUCGUCGCCCCUGUCUCCGCCGUAGGAGCUUCGCCGCCUCCCGCGCGCUCGUCCUCUCAUCUCCCAUGGAAGGGAGGUGUGGGGAUGUAGGGGAUGGAGGAAGCCGGCGAGGAAGGCAAGCAACAGCGGGGAAGGAGCUGGGUGAGCGAUCCUAGCGGGUAGGAAGGGGCAGGGUGAUGCCUCGCGCACAUGCCAGCGGCCGGCAGGUCGAAUUGUUGCGCCACCGCGUCGUCGCCUCCUCUGUGCCAUGAGGCGCCACCUCUGCCUCCACCCUCCAUCGGGCAAGGAGCUCGAGGUGAACAGGCGGUGGGAAGGUGAGAGGAAGUAGGAGCUAUCUCUCGUUCAAUGGCUGCCUCGUGCAUCUGGAGUAUAAGAAGGACAACACGUGCCUGUUGGAGGCGACUCGAGCAACGCAGUCCAGCGACGAACUAGAUCUGACAUAGAAGACCACGUUCGUCAGAUUCGAAAGUGAUCUUCUUCCAAUGGCUUUAAUGGUAAUUAAUAACCUCCUUUUGUGCUUCACCUCGUUCUUAUAUAUGAUGUACAGAGAAUGCAGUUGUGUCAAGUUUGCUGACAUCCUCAUCCUGCAACUGGUUUGGUAUAUUUGGUUAAUCGUAACCAGCAAAAAGGAGUCGUCACAUACGUGCCUUCUAUUAUUUAUGUGGUUGUAUGAAGUGUUCCUUCAACUAAUCAAGCAACCUGACAUUAGUACUUUGUUUAAUUAAUAUCACUCUCAUCAGAGAGUAUGAUAUCAUUUAGCUAGCCUCUUUUCUUUGCGGGAUAGUGUAAAGGUGGAAGGUAACUCAAAUUUGACGAGCAUGGGAGUAGUGGCCACAGCUGGGCACCAUGGGUUGGACGAGGUGCUUCAUGGUGAGGAACAGGCACGCCAUCUUCCAAUUCGUCCUCCCCAGCCCGAUGCCUACCAUGAAUUCCAGCACAGUUUGAAGCAGCCAAGGGAGGGAGGACCAAGAAAACAUAGGCGCGCCAUUUUCCAAUUUGUCCUCCCCAGCCCGAUGCCUACCAUGAAUUCCAGCAUAGUUUGAAGUAGCCAAGGGAGGGAGGACCAAGAAAACAUAGGCACUCUUCUAUCUCUUUUAAGCCAAGGUGGAGGUUGGGAAACAAAGAACUUGCCCAACUAUGGAAAUGGGCAGAACUAAACCUGUAUGUUUUAGCUAGAACUUCCCGCUAUUUUCCUAUUUGAAGGAGCAACAAUGCAUUAAGCAUAAACAAUACGUCAGUUAGGCCUUUUUUUGUCUUACUGUCCAAUUUUACUUCUAUAUACAAAUGUUAAAAGAGUCUGAGUGGGGAGACUCUAUUUGGAAAGGGAUUUUGUACAGUUUUUCUGCAAGUUACUACCUCAUUAGUGGACUGGCCUACAUAGUAUUCAUAAAAAUUAAUCAUCCAAUUC